AGCUCCAAUAGCGUAUAUUAAAGUUGUUGCAGUUAAAAAGCUCGUAGUUGGAUUUCUGGCAGGAGUGACCGGUCACACACUCUGUGUGUGAACUCGCGUUGUCUCUGGCCAUCCUUGGGGAGAUCCUGUUUGGCAUUAAGUUGUCGGGCAGGGGAUACCCAUCGUUUACUGUGAAAAAAUUAGAGUGUUUAAAGCAGGCUUAUGCCGUUGAAUAUAUUAGCAUGGAAUAAUAAGAUAGGACUUCGGAACUAUUUUGUUGGUUUGCGUUACGAAGUAAUGAUUAAUAGGGACAGUUGGGGGUAUUCGUAUUUCGUUGUCAGAGGUGAAAUUCUUGGAUUUCCGAAAGACGAACUACUGCGAAAGCAUUUACCAAGGAUGUUUUCAUUAAUCAAGAACGAAA
rnacentral:rRNA from 1 species